GAGCCCAAGGGGGCCAGAUGGGCAUACAAUCUCAUAGCCACUGCCCCCAGGAGUGCUGGUCUCCUCCCAAGACCCUACAACAUCAGAGAUCCUGCCAAGGAGAGGCCAGCCUCAGAGUGGGAGCUGACCAGACACAUGGUUGCAGCAAACUCUGGGACAGCAAGUUUGGCAGUGACAUUCAAGCAGGACACACUUCAGCCAAGACAGCAAAAAACAGCCAUUUCUCAAGCAUCUCUGUGAGGCCAAGCCAUCCCCAGAAAUGAUCAUAGGCACACUCUGCAUCUCUGUUUUGGCCUGGCUUACUGUACAAAGGAGGAAACUAAGGCCCCUGGGAGACAAGUUUAGCCCAAGCCCAGUCCAGCCGGGCAUCCAGACAGCUCCCCCUCCCCCCACAGCCAGCCUGGCAGC